UCGGGAAUCUUGCACAAUGGGCGAAAGCCUGAUGCAGCAACGCCGUGUGAGCGAGGAAGGUCUUCGGAUCGUAAAGCUCUGUUGUUGGGGACGAAGGGCGAAGGGUUAAUAGCCCCUAGCCUGACGGUACCCUUCGAGGAAGCCCCGGCUAACUACGUGCCAGCAGCCGCGGUAAUACGUAGGGGGCGAGCGUUGUCCGGAAUUAUUGGGCGUAAAGGGCUCGUAGGCGGUCUCUUCAGUCGGGUGUGAAAUCUCAGGGCUCAACCCUGAAAUCGCACCCGAUACUGGGAGACUUGAGGCAGGUAGGGGAGAUUGGAAUUCCUGGUGUAGCGGUGAAAUGCGCAGAUAUCAGGAGGAACACCGGUGGCGAAGGCGGAUCUCUGGGCCUGUUCUGACGCUGAGGAGCGAAAGCGUGGGGAGCAAACAGGAUUAGAUACCCCCGUAGUCC
rnacentral:rRNA from 1 species